CCGCCGCCUCCGUCGCCCACGCCAGAAGCCGCCUACGCCGCCGGCCACAGAGUAGGUGCUGAGUGAUCCGGUUCAGCAUGCAGUGAAUAAUGAAAUCCCGAACUAUAGAAGAUCCAAAGUGUUCUCCAACAUAUUUAGAAUCAAGGAAGACAGUGGGAGGUCAAGAGCUGACUCCCAAUUAGGCUGUGGAAAGCUAAUAAGGAGGCCUAGAUAAUUGGUGAUGCUUUGAGCCCCACCCUGCAUAAUUUUACUUGAUUAGGUCCGAUCAACUGUAUUCACUGAAUUUCUGCUGCACAACUUUAUUUCCUUGAGAAUGAGAUGUGCAGAAUAGAGAGCAUGAAUGGUAUACACGCGCAGCUAAAUAUAUCCAAGGUUGGAGCGUGCUUGGUUAGCCAAUAGGGGAUAAUCCUAGAUUUCCAGCCAUCUUAUCACCCGAGCGGAGCACGAGUAAACGGAAGAGCGAGAAGAUAGCGAGCAAACGGAAGAGCGAGAAGAUAGCCGGCGG